CUUCGUGGUGUAGUGGUCAGCACGCUCGACGCGUAACCGAGAGGUCCGUGGUUCGAGUCCCGGCGAAG
rnacentral:tRNA from 1 species